rnacentral:rRNA from 1 species
UUGAAGAGUUUGAUCAUGGCUCAGAUUGAACGCUGGCGGCAGGCCUAACACAUGCAAGUCGAGCGGUAGCACAGAGAGCUUGCUCUCGGGUGACGAGCGGCGGACGGGUGAGUAAUGUCUGGGAAACUGCCUGAUGGAGGGGGAUAACUACUGGAAACGGUAGCUAAUACCGCAUAACGUCGCAAGACCAAAGUGGGGGACCUUCGGGCCUCAUGCCAUCAGAUGUGCCCAGAUGGGAUUAGCUAGUAGGUGGGGUAAUGGCUCACCUAGGCGACGAUCCCUAGCUGGUCUGAGAGGAUGACCAGCCACACUGGAACUGAGACACGGUCCAGACUCCUACGGGAGGCAGCAGUGGGGAAUAUUGCACAAUGGGCGCAAGCCUGAUGCAGCCAUGCCGCGUGUGUGAAGAAGGCCUUCGGGUUGUAAAGCACUUUCAGCGGGGAGGAAGGCGAUAAGGUUAAUAACCUUGUCGAUUGACGUUACCCGCAGAAGAAGCACCGGCUAACUCCGUGCCAGCAGCCGCGGUAAUACGGAGGGUGCAAGCGUUAAUCGGAAUUACUGGGCGUAAAGCGCACGCAGGCGGUCUGUCAAGUCGGAUGUGAAAUCCCCGGGCUCAACCUGGGAACUGCAUUCGAAACUGGCAGGCUAGAGUCUUGUAGAGGGGGGUGGAAUUCCAGGUGUAGCGGUGAAAUGCGUAGAGAUCUGGAGGAAUACCGGUGGCGAAGGCGGCCCCCUGGACAAAGACUGACGCUCAGGUGCGAAAGCGUGGGGAGCAAACAGGAUUAGAUACCCUGGUAGUCCACGCCGUAAACGAUGUCGAUUUGGAGGUUGUGCCCUUGAGGCGUGGCUUCCGGAGCUAACGCGUUAAAUCGACCGCCUGGGGAGUACGGCCGCAAGGUUAAAACUCAAAUGAAUUGACGGGGGCCCGCACAAGCGGUGGAGCAUGUGGUUUAAUUCGAUGCAACGCGAAGAACCUUACCUGGUCUUGACAUCCACAGAAUUUUCCAGAGAUGGAUUGGUGCCUUCGGGAACUGUGAGACAGGUGCUGCAUGGCUGUCGUCAGCUCGUGUUGUGAAAUGUUGGGUUAAGUCCCGCAACGAGCGCAACCCUUAUCCUUUGUUGCCAGCGGUUAGGCCGGGAACUCAAAGGAGACUGCCAGUGAUAAACUGGAGGAAGGUGGGGAUGACGUCAAGUCAUCAUGGCCCUUACGACCAGGGCUACACACGUGCUACAAUGGCAUAUACAAAGAGAAGCGACCUCGCGAGAGCAAGCGGACCUCAUAAAGUAUGUCGUAGUCCGGAUUGGAGUCUGCAACUCGACUCCAUGAAGUCGGAAUCGCUAGUAAUCGUAGAUCAGAAUGCUACGGUGAAUACGUUCCCGGGCCUUGUACACACCGCCCGUCACACCAUGGGAGUGGGUUGCAAAAGAAGUAGGUAGCUUAACCUUCGGGAGGGCGCUUACCACUUUGUGAUUCAUGACUGGGGUGAAGUCGUAACAAGGUAACCGUAGGGGAACCUGCGGUUGGAUCACCUCCUU